GCGGCGCGGGGGCUGGGCCGGCGCGGAGCCUCUCCCUCCCCCAAGCCGGGCCUGGGGGGCUAAGGGGUUUCCCGCCCUGGGCCUCAGGGGCCGCCGGGGAGGGUGCGAUGCGGGGAGGUAAGGGGUCCGCCCUGCCCCGCUGCUGGGGGUGCCCCCCUUCUGGUGUCAGGGGCCGCAGCCCAGGGAAGGGGAUUGUACCCCGAAGGCUCUGGACCUGCCCCUGGAGCCAGGGAGACCGAGGUGGAUUCUGUGGUGUGUGGGUUGCAUCUCAAGGAAGCCGGUAGAAAACACACACGUGUGGAGUGGAAACAGCUGGGCUGGUGCCAGGGCCCCACCCGCCCCAUGGGCGGCGGCGGAUCCCGCGGGCCCUGCCCGGGACUCUCGGGGUCAGGAGCGUCUGACUACAAACCGACCGGCAGCGCCUUCUCACCGUGACAGAAGUUACCAGAAGGGACCCUGCCCGUCACUUGGCCUUCAGAGCCCAACACUGCUGCCCCCAACACCCACGGGUCUGCUCACCGGGCUGGGCUCCCAGGCCCGGCCCGAGCCCGCCCCCACCCUUUUGUCCUUGCAGUGACUCCCCCUACUCUGAUUCUCACCUGUCUUUCCCACUCGGCCUGGGCUGGGCUCCCCUCCAAAUUCCCAGCCUGAUCCGGACUGUCCCAGUGAUAGGCUCAGGAGGUCCCUGAAUUCCUGCUUUACACCCUUGAGAGCAGACAGACGCCCCAGGGGCGCCUGGGCGGCUCAGUCGGUUAAGCGCCCCCGACUCUUGAUCUCGGCUCAGGUCACGAUCUCAUGGUUUGCAGGACGAGCCCCGCGUCGGGCUUGUGCUGACAGUGCGGAGCCUGCUUGGGAUUCUGUCUCUCCUUCUCUCUGCCCCUCCCCUGCUUGUGCGCACGCGCGCGCUCUCUC